CCCGCUGAACUUAAGCAUAUCAAUAAGCGGAGGAAAAGAAACUAACAAGGAUUCCCCUAGUAACUGCGAGUGAAGCGGGAAAAGCUCAAAUUUAAAAUCUGGCGGCUCUGCUGUCCGAGUUGUAAUUUAGAGAAGUGCUAUCCGCGCUGGACCGUGUACAAGUCUCCUGGAAUGGAGCAUCAUAGAGGGUGAGAAUCCCGUCUUCGACACGGACUGCCAGGGCAAUCGUGAUGCGCUCUCAAAGAGUCGAGUUGUUUGGGAAUGCAGCUCAAAAUGGGUGGUAAAUUCCAUCUAAAGCUAAAUAUUGGGGAGAGACCGAUAGCGAACAAGUACCGUGAGGGAAAGAUGAAAAGAACUUUGGAAAGAGAGUUAAAUAGUACGUGAAAUUGCUGAAAGGGAAACGCUUAAAGUCAGUCGCGUUAUCUGGGGAUCAGCCUUCCUUUUGGUUGGUGUACUUCCUAGUUGACGGGUCAACAUCAGUUUUGACCAGUGGACAAGAGCUUGAGGAAUGUGGCAUCUUCGGGUGUGUUAUAGCCUCUUGUUGUAUACAUUGGUUGGGACUGAGGAACUCAGCACGCCGCAAGGCCGGGUUUUUAACCACGUUCGUGCUUAGGAUGUUGGCAUAAUGGCUUUAAUCGACCCGUCUUGAAACACGG
rnacentral:rRNA from 1 species